UGAGCUAUCACUUGCUUCUGUCUUUCAACUUGUCUGCACACUCCUGCCCUUCUGUGGCACCACUCUUUGUAGGUAGUGUCUAGCUCUUCAAAGGUUCUUUCAUCAUCAAUUGACUCUUCCUCAGACCCCCAUCUUCCUGUCAAAGCAUUCACAUGAUUUGUGGCUUCUUCAGUUUCACUUCCAUCAGACCAAGAGGCUACAAGACUCCUCUUUUGUUU
rnacentral:lncRNA from 1 species